rnacentral:rRNA from 1 species
UUUAAAUGUAAUUAAAAAUACUAGAUGAUUAAUAGUUAUGUUCUUUAAAGUUAAAUAAUUUGGCGGUAUUUUAGUCUUUUCAGAGGAACCUGUUCUGUAAUUGAUAUUCCACGAUUAACUUAAUUUAAUUUAGAAAUUUACAUAUCGUCGUUAUUGAAUAUUUUAGAAGAAUUAAAAUAUUUAAAAAUUUAAAUUUGAAAAUAAAUCAGAUCAAGGUGUAGUUUAUAAUUAAAUAGAAAUGGGUUACAAUAAAUUUUCUUUUUGGAUUUUUUUUUGAAAAAUUUUAUGAAAUUGGAUUUGAAAGUAAUUAAUUUUAUAUUUUUUUAAUGAUUUAGCUCUAAAAUAUGU